rnacentral:rRNA from 1 species
AGAGUUUGAUCCUGGCUCAGAAUCAACGCUGGCGGCGUGCCUAACACAUGCAAGUCGCACGAGAAAGUGGAGCAAUCCAUGAGUAAAGUGGCGCACGGGUGAGUAACACGUGAAUUAUCUACCUCCGAGUGGGGAAUAACCUAGGGAAACCUGGGCUAAUACCGCAUAACACUUACGAGUCAAAGCAGCAAUGCGCUUGGAGAGGAGUUCGCGGCAGAUUAGUUAGUUGGCGGGGUAAUGGCCCACCAAGACGAUGAUCUGUAUCCGGCCUGAGAGGGCGCACGGACACACUGGAACUGAAACACGGUCCAGACUCCUACGGGAGGCAGCAGUGGGGAAUUUUGCGCAAUGGGGGAAACCCUGACGCAGCAACGCCGCGUGGAGGAUGAAAUCCCUUGGGAUGUAAACUCCUUUCGAUCGGGACGAUUAUGACGGUACCGGAAGAAGAAGCCCCGGCUAACUUCGUGCCAGCAGCCGCGGUAAUACGAGGGGGGCGAGCGUUGUUCGGAAUUAUUGGGCGUAAAGGGUGCGUAGGCGGUUUGAUAAGUCUGAUGUGAAAUCUAUGGGCUCAACCCAUAGUCUGCAUUAGAAACUGUCGGGCUUGAGUAUGGGAGAGGUGAGUGGAAUUUCCGGUGUAGCGGUGAAAUGCGUAGAUAUCGGAAGGAACACCUGUGGCGAAAGCGGCUCACUGGACCAUUACUGACGCUGAUGCACGAAAGCUAGGGGAGCAAACAGGAUUAGAUACCCCGGUAGUCC